GUCCCCCGGCUGGUACUGCAGCCCCUCCUGGCCUCCAGUGUCCAGGCGCACCAGGAUCGUGGCCCGGCUGGGGGGUGAGGAGGUUUUCGACUGAGAGGAUGGUAGCCUGGAACAUCUUCCUCCGGUGCACAUGGAUCAGGCCUGGGGGGAGAGAGAGACUCAGCCAGAAGCCCGGCCCGGCCCCUGAGGGAGGACACCAGCGGGUCUGAGCAGGAGACACUGUUGAAGCGGAUUUUGUAACUCCUGGCAAAAGAAGACCAAGACAGGGCCGUCACAGGGAGCUGGAGGCUCGGUGCGGGCCCAGACACAGCCAGGGGACAGCUUCAGGGUGUCUACAUCUGGGGUAAGAAGGGCCCUGUCCUCGGGCUUGGCUCUGUCUCCCAGAGAUCUCUGCGCCUUCAGGCCCUGCGUGCCCCCCUUGUUCUCUCUGAAGGACACCUCAGGACUGGCCAGACUGUGAGUGGGCAGGUCACAAGGGAGGAGGGCAUCCUGAGCUGUGAUGGGGUCCAGGCCCCCUCACCUCUGCCCUCCAGCUUGUGGAGGUGCAGAGGGGGAACAUUUCAGCCCCCCUUUUCUCGUUGUCUCCAGAUGCCUCACUGCCCUCCCUCCACCUCCCCCCAAAGUCCCACCCCCACUCACCUGUGUUGUUCUGGCCGAGGGGAGCUGUUGUAGGGACCAGACAUUUCCAUCAGGGCCGCCGCAAAACUCUGGCGAGGGGAAGCGUGGUUAUCGUGGUUAGUUUUGCUUUACUUCAAACCACACAGAAGUUGAAAACUGUACUGGGCUGAUCCUUAGAAUUCUUAUCUGUAAAUUGUGAUUUUGUUUGGAAAAUUUCAAACCAGGUAGCGGCUUUCUGGAAACAUGACAGAACCAUAAAAUGAUAAAAGGGAAAAUCUACCUUCCCUUCCCUCUAGUCCGGGCCCCCAAGGCAGGGGCCCUGUUGACAGGUGUUUAACCUCCGAGCUCUGUUUCGUUGAACUCAGAAAUGUAUCUGUAUUUAUAGUUUGUUAAAAAAGUAAAAAUGGGGCCACACCAUAUUUAUCUGCUUUUUCUUAACAACCUGUCAUGGAUAUAUCAUGGAUGUCCUUCCUUCCAGGUCAUCACAUGAAGAAUGACCUCCUUUCAAAAAACAAAAAUUUUCAAAAUUCUUAUUUAUUUGGGAGAGAGAGGGAGAGAGACAGAG